AACGCGAAGAACCUUACCAGGGCUUGACAUGUAGCGAACCCUGCAGAGAUGCGGGGGUGCCCUUCGGGGAGCGCUAACACAGGUGGUGCAUGGUUGUCGUCAGCUCGUGUCGUGAGAUGUUGGGUUAAGUCCCGCAACGAGCGCAACCCCUAUUGUAUGUUGCCAUCAGGUAAAGCUGGGCACUCAUGCGAGACUGCCGGUGACAAACCGGAGGAAGGUGGGGAUGACGUCAAAUCAUCAUGCCCCUUAUGUCCUGGGCGACACACGUGCUACAAUGGCCGUCACAGCGCGAACCGAGCCCGCGAGGGGGAGGAAACCGCGAAAGGCGGUCGUAGUUCGGAUCGCAGGCUGCAACUCGCCUGCGUGAAGCCGGAGUUGCUAGUAAUCGCGGAUCAGAACGCCGCGGUGAAUACGUUCCCGGGCCUUGUACACACCGUAGUAC
rnacentral:rRNA from 1 species